UACGUAGGUCCCGAGCGUUGUCCGGAUUUAUUGGGUGUAAAGGGGGCGCAGACGGCGAUGCAAGCCAGGAGUGAAAGCCCGGGGCCCAACCCCGGGACUGCUCUUGGAACUGCGUGGCUGGAGUGCAGGAGGGGCAGGCGGAAUUCCUGGUGUAGCGGUGAAAUGCGUAGAUAUCAGGAGGAACACCGGUGGCGAAGGCGGCCUGCUGGACUGCAACUGACGUUGAGGCCCGAAAGCGUGGGGAGCAAACAGG
rnacentral:rRNA from 1 species